UACGGAGGGGGCUAGCGUUGUUCGGAAUUACUGGGCGUAAAGCGUACGUAGGCGGUUACUCAAGUCAGAGGUGAAAGCCCGGAGCUCAACUCCGGAAUUGCCUUUGAAACUAGGUAGCUUGAACGUCGGAGAGGUGAGUGGAAUUCCGAGUGUAGAGGUGAAAUUCGUAGAUAUUCGGAAGAACACCAGUGGCGAAGGCGGCUCACUGGACGACUGUUGACGCUGAGGUACGAAAGCGUGGGGAGCAAACAGG
rnacentral:rRNA from 1 species